rnacentral:sRNA from 1 species
AGGAGAAAGACUUAAAAUUGUUCUAACAUGGGUUCUCCAACUUCUGAAAUUCAUCCAGAAACUCCCUGUAUUUGGGUAACAGUAUUAUAACUUUUCGCACCAGGGCUUGUUUAUUUGUUAAUAUUAAUUGAUUUUUCUUAUGUUCUUUAUGAAAGAAUAACUCAUCCAUUAAUGAAACCAAAUGUGAACUUAGUGCCUUCUAUGUAGAAAAGGCUAGGAAUACAUAUUGUGGGAGAUUCAUUACAUCACUGGCCUUAAUACUACACCUUCUCAUGUUCCCCCUUGGCUGUGUAACUUUCUAGUGUCCAUAUGCUCUCUCUUGGGCUUGAUCAAUGUGACUUGCUUUGGCCAAUGGGAUAUUAGCAACCAUGACAUAACCCGAGGCUUAUAAAGUUGCCUGCUCAUUGGGGCUUGUUCUCACUGUUGCAUCCCAGUUAUUCACAUCACUCCAGCUGACAGCCAGCCAACAAACUACCAGACACGUGAGCCCAACCAAGAGCAGAAGAACCGUCCCACAGAGCCUAGUCUAAAUUGCCAACAUGCAAAUGCAUGACCACAGCAAAGUAAUCUUACAGCCCAGGACUCAGCUGCUGCAAUCUCUGUGAAAGGUUCUGCUCAUGAAACAUGGACAACCAUGUGUGGUGCCUGCAUUCUUGGCCUGUGGGGAGUGGCAAGGAGACAAAGAGUAAAACAGGGUGGGAAAGAAAAAAAAGAGGUGAAGAAAAGCAAAUGUGCCUACUCCAGGUAAUUUUGACUUAGGAACCCUGAUUAACUUAUGCACUAAUUAAACCAUUUCAAGAUUUUUUACAGUCUGAAAGUAGGCCAUUUUCCCCAACACCAGGUCACUCAAGAUGACCACAGGAAGGUUGUCAUCUCCAUGUCUAAAAGCCAGUUGAUACUCAAGGAUGUCAUUUCACUUGAGUGAAAUGAGAAGCUUCACAGAUGUGUAGACUCUGAAAAAUCCAACUGGAAAACAAAACAGGGAAAUAGCAAUCCUAGGCAUCAAAGCAGCAAAAAACUACUCAAUUACCUGGUAUGGGCAUUAUCAGUGGAAUAAAUAUGGGGUUUACUGCUUGUUGUUGGGAUUGUUGUGGGUUUUGUUCCAUUUUUUAGGGUCUCACUUUUCUCCACCAAUUAGAUCUGUGCUGUGAGCCACACAGGUUUUGAGUACUUGUUUUGGGACUUUAUAUUGGUCAGCUUUUGCCAUGGUAACACUGUGUAACAAGCAUCUCAAAAACUUCAGUGGUGGUCAAAAGCAAAUCUUUAUUUCUCAUUCAUGGGUUUUCAGUUUGUUCAGGCUAAAAGUAAAAUACACAGAUUCUCCACCUGUCUUUCAUUCCAUGCUGAAGGAGCAAUUGACUGCCUGGGACAUACUUUUCUCAUAACAGAGGCCAGAGUGAAAAACACCAAGUCAUCUUGAUUAUGCAAUCCCAUUUUGAAUGUAAACAAUGUCAUGUCUGCUUCUAUUUCAUUGACCAAAGCAAGUCAUAUAGGCAAGCCCAACAUCAGUGGGGUGAUAAAGCACACUCUCCAAUGGAAGGAGGAGGGGAGUACGAGUAUUUGCUGAACAAUAAUGCAGGAUAGCACAAGACUUGUCUGGGGUGAGAGGGAGAUCAAAGCUCUGGCUCCCACCCAGUCUUCCACCAAAGCAAUGUGACUUUGACU